GUCACACACAAGAAGUCUGGAGGACUUCCUGGGUGAGGUGGGUGGGGGAGCUGCCAGGACGAGACGAUGCUGUUGACGCUAUCACAACACUAAAUAACUCCUUCACAUUUUCCUACAUACCAGGACUGCAGAUUUGUACUUUCCCAGAUUGUCUAUAGCCACAACCUAUGAUCUGAAGACCAUCCUGAGCACACUGGGCAUCACCGAGGUCUUCAGCAAGGAGGCUGACCUCUCAGGGGUCACACAGGAUGCUCCCCUGAAGCUCGGCAAGGCUGUGCACAAGACUGUACUGACCUUUGAAGAUGAUGUGACAGUACCUACAAGGAACACCAGUUGGAGUAAGAGGGACUCGCCUCAAAACUUUUCAAUCCAUUUCAAC
rnacentral:lncRNA from 14 species